AUGUAAUUUAUUAUUUCAAUUAUUUUUUCUUAAAAGUGCUCUUCUUCGAUUUUACUACAAUACAGUUUGUCUAUUAAGAAAAAUGUGUAACUGAAUAUAUAAUAUAUAUAAUAUCCAAGUUACUUUUACUUUAGUAAAAUCAACCGAUCACGUUUUAACCAAGCAAAUAUUUCUGGACUUAAAUGAAGAUAAAAUGUUUACCUACAAUUAACUGGAAAAAAUAAAUGAAUGUCCUAAUAAUAAAGUAUUUGUAGGCCUAGAAGGUAUGUAUCUUCUAUUGAUCCAGACGUAUAAUUAUAGCGGUCUGAUUUUGAUGUUAUAUGCUUUAGAUGGUGAAGCGUUAGUCGAAAACACAUUAGUUACAUGGCUAAUCGUAAAACAUACGUGCUUCAUGAAGUAUACCUAACCUUGCCUAACCUACCAUACUCCCCAGAUCUAACGCAGUGAUUACCAUAUUUUCCCUCUUUUAAAAUAAUGGGACAGCAAGUAAUUCACGGCAGUGGUCAGUUGACUGUUUCGGAAAAUAGACAUAAUUGUGAUAAAAAAACAGUGAGUAAUUGAGGAGGAAGGCGAUUAUGUAGAAAAAUAACAUGGUACUCAAAAAAAAAAAUGAACAUGCUGUAUUUAAUUUCCUUCCCUGUUUUGUUGGUAAUGGGUUAUUUUUUUUUAAUGAAUAUUAUUAAAAUAUCUUUUCCCUUGGCCCUAUACUUUUUUUUUAUAAGAAUAAAUGAAUAGGUUUAUUAUGUAUUGGUUUUUACUCACAAAAGGUAUGCAAUUCAUUAAAUGUCAACGUUUAUAAUAACUGAUAGCUGAUACACUCAUUUGGCCAAUGAGUAUUUUUAUUUAUAAUUUCCUGAAUGUAAGCCUUCCGUUAGUAAGUACCUGCAGCUAUGUGUCACACUAAUGUUUUGAUUAGGUUGACUUUCAAGUAGAUGGUAAGUGCAAGUUACCUUUUUUGAACAAUUGUUAUUAUUGUUUUUAUUUGAGCGCAAUUGUUGAACGCCCAGUGAAGUUGUAGGCAACGGUAAGCCAUCAAUGUAAAUUAUACGAUUUAAUGUUACUCUGCAAUAAAGAGAUACCGUCUUAUGUC
rnacentral:lncRNA from 1 species